CGUGAGAGAGAAGGGGUAAGAGAGAAAUUGACCCGUUUAGCCGGAUCCGAGCCGCAUCCUUGACCCGGCUCCAGCUGUUGAUUCCGGCCACCUCACCGGCCGAGCUUGGUACCGAUUUGAAGCUUGAGCGACUCCGGUCGCUGACAUCGUCACCGGAAAGUAGCCAGCACGCCGGCGAUCGAAGCUUGAAAGACCGCGGCUCAACCCGUUUUCGGCACCGUCAAUCUCAUCGGAAUUAGGUUGCACCACCGGUUGGGUUCGACUCCUCACGUCGCUAGCUUUCAUUUCCGACCAACCCCGCCACCUGAAACCUCCGUUUUGGCCGUGAACGACCGCCGGAAAGCUCACGGAUUUGGGAGCAUGAUCCGCCGCCAUCACCGCGCGUGUAAGGUCACCGCCGGCACCUUUGGACUCACCGAGGUCUGAAAUAUCAGACCUAAGCUUCCCGUCGUCGUUGACUAAGUCUGGUCACCGUUGACCGGCAGGGUCAAUUCGGUAAUUUUACAAGACUUUGGGGUAAAUUUGUAAUUUGAAGAAAUGAUGGAUAAAUUGGUAAUUUCAUAUUAGGGCAGUGAGGUAAUUUAAGAUUUUGGGGGUAAUUCAGUAAUUUACGUUGUUAAGGACAUUUUGGUAAAUUUACACUCCGAGGGUAAUUUCGUAAUUUCUUACAUUGUGGUUAUUUUUAUAAUCUGAAUUGAGGUUAGCUUGGUAAUUUAAGAUUACGAGGAUAAUUGGGUAAGUAUUGAUGUCGGGGACAUUUUGGUAAUUUUGGCAUGCAUGGGUAUUUUGGUAAUUUGAGGCAUACAAGAAUAGUUGAUUAUGAAUGAAUAUUUGUUUCGAGCUCUAAUGCGUAAUAUUAGUUGUAUUUCACAUUUACGGAAAAAUAAUUAUGUCGUUUACUUGAUUACAAGGACCUGCGAACAAGAAUCAACUCGUGGACACUGUUGAUACCGAGUUUGAACAUCGUCAUUAUGAGUGGAAUAUACAAAACUUAUUUUCAUAGUAUAUUCUGAUUUUACCAUACAGUACAACAUAUUUUGAUAAUAAGUAUUUGAUGCUUCGAUUUAAUGAUUUUUUAGAAAAUUGAUUUUUUUUUAUCUCCGUGCUGAUAUUUAUUGUUAUUAAGAAUGAGUUUGAUUAAUGAUUUUAUUGUCGUUUUUGAGUAAAUGCAUGAUAUUAGAAUUCAGUGGAUUUGAGAUAUGUUAAAUAAAAAGGAAAUGUGAUUAUAUGUUUAUGUACAUGUGUAUAAAAAGUUGUUUGGAAAAUCAUUGGACAGUACCUUUCUCCUUUAGAUACAGAGAUACAAAUUAUAUGAGAUGAAUCACGGAUUUGGGAGCAUGAUCCGCCGCCAUCACCGCGCGUGUAAGGUCACCGCCGGCACCUUUGGACUCACCGAGGUCUGAAAUAUCAGACCUAAGCUUCCCGUCGUCGUUGACUAAGUCUGGUCACCGUUGACCGGCAGGGUCAAUUCGGUAAUUUUACAAGACUUUGGGGUAAAUUUGUAAUUUGAAGAAAUGAUGGAUAAAUUGGUAAUUUCAUAUUAGGGCAGUGAGGUAAUUUAAGAUUUUGGGGGUAAUUCAGUAAUUUACGUUGUUAAGGACAUUUUGGUAAAUUUACACUCCGAGGGUAAUUUCGUAAUUUCUUACAUUGUGGUUAUUUUUAUAAUCUGAAUUGAGGUUAGCUUGGUAAUUUAAGAUUACGAGGAUAAUUGGGUAAGUAUUGAUGUCGGGGACAUUUUGGUAAUUUUGGCAUGCAUGGGUAUUUUGGUAAUUUGAGGCAUACAAGAAUAGUUGAUUAUGAAUGAAUAUUUGUUUCGAGCUCUAAUGCGUAAUAUUAGUUGUAUUUCACAUUUACGGAAAAAUAAUUAUGUCGUUUACUUGAUUACAAGGACCUGCGAACAAGAAUCAACUCGUGGACACUGUUGAUACCGAGUUUGAACAUCGUCAUUAUGAGUGGAAUAUACAAAACUUAUUUUCAUAGUAUAUUCUGAUUUUACCAUACAGUACAACAUAUUUUGAUAAUAAGUAUUUGAUGCUUCGAUUUAAUGAUUU
rnacentral:lncRNA from 1 species